GACCACGUAGCUCAGUUGGUAGAGCAUUGUGCUAGUAUUCCAAAGGUUGUAGGUUUGAUUCCCACCGUGGUCA